CUACACUUACCUCUUGAAGAUCGAGGGUGGUGUGAUCCCUAACUCGGAGGUGUGGAGAAUCCAAGCUCCAAAAGCUCCAAGCUCCCAAAACUCCUUUUAAGCUUUAAAUCUUCAAACACAAGGGUAGAAAUCAUGAAAAACUUGAGAGAUGGGUAGAGAAAACACGAAAACGACCAAAGGAAGGCAUAAACUCACCUGAGCUCGAGAAUGGGG
rnacentral:lncRNA from 1 species